UACAGAGGGGGCAAGCGUUAUUCGGAAUUAUUGGGCGUAAAGGGCGCGUAGGCGGCUUUUCAAGUGACGGGUGAAAUCCCUCGGCUUAACCGAGGAACUGCCUGUCAGACUGGAAGGCUUGAGACCGGGAGAGGUGAGUGGAAUUCCCAGUGUAGCGGUGAAAUGCGUAGAUAUUGGGAGGAACACCAGUGGCGAAGGCGGCUCACUGGACCGGAACUGGACGCUGAG
rnacentral:rRNA from 1 species